UCCUCACAUGGUAUAAUUUUUACUUCAUUCUCCCUUUGGAGGGCAGGUUAGAACAUGAAUGUAAUUUGCAUGAUCCAUGAGUCACAUCUUGGAGUAGUCACAACUUGCAGUGCCCUGAUUGCUUCUAUUGGCU
rnacentral:snoRNA from 1 species